UACGUAGGGUGCAGGCGUUAAUCGGAAUUACUGGGCGUAAAGCGUGCGCAGGCGGUCUGCUAAGAGAGAUGUGAAAUCCCCGGGCUUAACCUGGGAACUGCGUUUUUAACUGGCAGGCUUGAGUGUGGCAGAGGGGGGUGGAAUUCCACGUGUAGCAGUGAAAUGCGUAGAGAUGUGGAGGAACACCGAUGGCGAAGGCAGCCCCCUGGGCUAACACUGACGCUCAUGCACGAAAGCGUGGGGAGCAAACAGG
rnacentral:rRNA from 1 species